rnacentral:rRNA from 1 species
UGGCGGACGGGUGAGUAAUGUCUGGGAAACUGCCCGAUGGAGGGGGAUAACUACUGGAAACGGCAGCUAAUACCGCAUAAUGUCUACGGACCAAAGCGGGGGACCUCCGGGCCUCGCGCCAUCAGAUGAACCCAUAUGGGAUUAGCUUGUAGGUAAGGUAACGGCUUACCUAGGCGACGAUCCCUAGCUGGUCUGAGAGGAUGACCAGCCACACUGGAACUGAGACACGGUCCAG